rnacentral:rRNA from 1 species
AUGAAGGCCAAGGCAGGCUCCCGCACUGGCGACUCCCUUGCUGCUGGCGGCAGGAUGAAGGCCAAGGCAGGCUCCCGCACCGGCGACUCCCUUGCUGCUGGCGGUUGGAUGAAGGCCAAGGCUCGCGGUGAAGAAGAGAAAGGCCGACAAGGACCCCAACAAUCCCAAGCACCCCCCCGAGCGCCUUCUUCGUCUUCGCAGGGACACCUUCAGGAAGGAGUACAAAGAGAAGCACCCGACGCCAUGCAGGUCCCUGUGAUUGGCAAGGCCGGUCGUGAGAAGUGGAAGUCCCAAGUGAUGUUGCUCGAAGGAGGCAGUACGCAAGGCACCUCCUGA